CCAAGGAUGACUUGCCGG
rnacentral:siRNA from 1 species